rnacentral:misc_RNA from 1 species
CACAUGACUACUUAAAGGCCUUCUUUUAGGAGAUACGGAGGAAACGUUUCUACUUGGUGAAAGACUAACUGGUCUUGUCAUUUCUUUCAAGCUAAUUUGUCCAACUGCAGAUUGAUCCUUAACAACCAAACUGGAAGGACUACCAGCAGCAGUUCUGCUCCCAGUUUCAUAAUCAGUUGCAAGAGGACUACGCUGACGUGAAUCAAUAGGGUCAUCACUCUCAAUAGAGCACUCGCUUGAAAUAGAUGCAAAGACAAGCUCUCCAUCGGUAUCUGUAGGGUCGAGUCUGUGCCUGAUGCAUGCAGGCUUGGGGAGAGGCAGAAACAAGGAUGGCUUUGAGGCCUUCUCUACUCUGGACUUUGCUGAUGGACUUAUUCCAGAAUCCGACCUACCUACAUUUGCUGGACGCACACCGGGAAGUGGUAGUGGUUGGGCCAGAGGCCUUUCAGCAAAGCUUUGACAUCUUGAUACAUGUUUAGAAGGUGAUGACGCUCUUGAUUGUGCUUGGGAUAGAGAACCCUUCUCAGAAGCAAUGUCACUGUUAUGCCUUCUAGAACCUCCUGAUUUACCGGGAGAUUUAACUUCAGCUGGACUCUUAAACUUGCGAUGCAAUGUAUCAAUAAAACUUUCUUUUGUUGGUUUCUUCUUAGCUUCUUUUGAUGAUUUCCACCAUGAAGGCAUAUUUCCUUGUGCUAAAAAUUAGCAAACUCAAUAGGCAACUUACUACAACAUAAUUUCCAAAUAACCAGCCUUAUAUUGGACAAUAAACCUCUAAAGUUCUCUGCUGUCACAUAUCGAACACAAACAGCUCGCUUCAGAUUCGGCCUCCUGAAUCCAACUCAGAUACUACUAGCUCAAAAUGAAAACCCUAGAAAAAUCUCAGCUUCCCUCUCCCCUCUCCGAGAUUUUCCCAAGAGACGGAGAAAGAGAGAUAUAUAGAAAAGAGAAGAGAAGGUUCAGG